AAGAGUUGCAAGACUCCCACACCAUUGUGAAUCGUACCCUCGUCACAGCGACGUUGCCUCGGCGGGUCAAGCCCGCCGGCGGGACGCGUACACUAUGUUAUUUCGUGGCUUCUCCGAGACUAGUUAUACAAAAUAAGUCA
rnacentral:misc_RNA from 1 species